GAGACAAACCAUAAGAGACUCAAUCUCAGGAAACAAACUGAGGGUUGCUAGGGGUGGGCGAUAGGGUGUCUGGGUCAUAGACAUUGGGGAGGGUAUAUGCUAUGGUGAGUGCUGUAAAUUGUGUAAGAUUGAUGUUUCAUAGGCCUGCGGCCU